GGGUUGUGAGGUUAAGCGACUAAGCGUACACGGUGGAUGCCCUGGCAGUCAGAGGCGAUGAAGGACGUGCUAAUCUGCGAUAAGCGUCGGUAAGGUGAUAUGAACCGUUAUAACCGGCGAUUUCCGAAUGGGGAAACCCAGUGUGUUUCGACACACUAUCAUUAACUGAAUCCAUAGGUUAAUGAGGCGAACCGGGGGAACUGAAACAUCUAAGUACCCCGAGGAAAAGAAAUCAACCGAGAUUCCCCCAGUAGCGGCGAGCGAACGGGGAGCAGCCCAGAGCCUGAAUCAGUGUGUGUGUUAGUGGAAGCGUCUGGAAAGGCGCGCGAUACAGGGUGACAGCCCCGUACACAAAAAUGCACAUACUGUGAGCUCGAUGAGUAGGGCGGGACACGUGGUAUCCUGUCUGAAUAUGGGGGGACCAUCCUCCAAGGCUAAAUACUCCUGACUGACCGAUAGUGAACCAGUACCGUGAGGGAAAGGCGAAAAGAACCCCGGCGAGGGGAGUGAAAAAGAACCUGAAACCGUGUACGUACAAGCAGUGGGAGCACGCUUAGGCGUGUGACUGCGUACCUUUUGUAUAAUGGGUCAGCGACUUAUAUUCUGUAGCAAGGUUAACCGAAUAGGGGAGCCGAAGGGAAACCGAGUCUUAACUGGGCGUUAAGUUGCAGGGUAUAGACCCGAAACCCGGUGAUCUAGCCAUGGGCAGGUUGAAGGUUGGGUAACACUAACUGGAGGACCGAACCGACUAAUGUUGAAAAAUUAGCGGAUGACUUGUGGCUGGGGGUGAAAGGCCAAUCAAACCGGGAGAUAGCUGGUUCUCCCCGAAAGCUAUUUAGGUAGCGCCUCGUGAAUUCAUCUCCGGGGGUAGAGCACUGUUUCGGCAAGGGGGUCAUCCCGACUUACCAACCCGAUGCAAACUGCGAAUACCGGAGAAUGUUAUCACGGGAGACACACGGCGGGUGCUAACGUCCGUCGUGAAGAGGGAAACAACCCAGACCGCCAGCUAAGGUCCCAAAGUCAUGGUUAAGUGGGAAACGAUGUGGGAAGGCCCAGACAGCCAGGAUGUUGGCUUAGAAGCAGCCAUCAUUUAAAGAAAGCGUAAUAGCUCACUGGUCGAGUCGGCCUGCGCGGAAGAUGUAACGGGGCUAAACCAUGCACCGAAGCUGCGGCAGCGACGCUUAUGCGUUGUUGGGUAGGGGAGCGUUCUGUAAGCCUGCGAAGGUGUGCUGUGAGGCAUGCUGGAGGUAUCAGAAGUGCGAAUGCUGACAUAAGUAACGAUAAAGCGGGUGAAAAGCCCGCUCGCCGGAAGACCAAGGGUUCCUGUCCAACGUUAAUCGGGGCAGGGUGAGUCGACCCCUAAGGCGAGGCCGAAAGGCGUAGUCGAUGGGAAACAGGUUAAUAUUCCUGUACUUGGUGUUACUGCGAAGGGGGGACGGAGAAGGCUAUGUUGGCCGGGCGACGGUUGUCCCGGUUUAAGCGUGUAGGCUGGUUUUCCAGGCAAAUCCGGAAAAUCAAGGCUGAGGCGUGAUGACGAGGCACUACGGUGCUGAAGCAACAAAUGCCCUGCUUCCAGGAAAAGCCUCUAAGCAUCAGGUAACAUCAAAUCGUACCCCAAACCGACACAGGUGGUCAGGUAGAGAAUACCAAGGCGCUUGAGAGAACUCGGGUGAAGGAACUAGGCAAAAUGGUGCCGUAACUUCGGGAGAAGGCACGCUGAUAUGUAGGUGAAGUCCCUCGCGGAUGGAGCUGAAAUCAGUCGAAGAUACCAGCUGGCUGCAACUGUUUAUUAAAAACACAGCACUGUGCAAACACGAAAGUGGACGUAUACGGUGUGACGCCUGCCCGGUGCCGGAAGGUUAAUUGAUGGGGUCAGCGCAAGCGAAGCUCUUGAUCGAAGCCCCGGUAAACGGCGGCCGUAACUAUAACGGUCCUAAGGUAGCGAAAUUCCUUGUCGGGUAAGUUCCGACCUGCACGAAUGGCGUAAUGAUGGCCAGGCUGUCUCCACCCGAGACUCAGUGAAAUUGAACUCGCUGUGAAGAUGCAGUGUACCCGCGGCAAGACGGAAAGACCCCGUGAACCUUUACUAUAGCUUGACACUGAACAUUGAGCCUUGAUGUGUAGGAUAGGUGGGAGGCUUUGAAGUGUGGACGCCAGUCUGCAUGGAGCCGACCUUGAAAUACCACCCUUUAAUGUUUGAUGUUCUAACGUUGACCCGUGAUCCGGGUUGCGGACAGUGUCUGGUGGGUAGUUUGACUGGGGCGGUCUCCUCCUAAAGAGUAACGGAGGAGCACGAAGGUUGGCUAAUCCUGGUCGGACAUCAGGAGGUUAGUGCAAUGGCAUAAGCCAGCUUGACUGCGAGCGUGACGGCGCGAGCAGGUGCGAAAGCAGGUCAUAGUGAUCCGGUGGUUCUGAAUGGAAGGGCCAUCGCUCAACGGAUAAAAGGUACUCCGGGGAUAACAGGCUGAUACCGCCCAAGAGUUCAUAUCGACGGCGGUGUUUGGCACCUCGAUGUCGGCUCAUCACAUCCUGGGGCUGAAGUAGGUCCCAAGGGUAUGGCUGUUCGCCAUUUAAAGUGGUACGCGAGCUGGGUUUAGAACGUCGUGAGACAGUUCGGUCCCUAUCUGCCGUGGGCGCUGGAGAACUGAGGGGGGCUGCUCCUAGUACGAGAGGACCGGAGUGGACGCAUCACUGGUGUUCGGGUUGUCAUGCCAAUGGCACUGCCCGGUAGCUAAAUGCGGAAGAGAUAAGUGCUGAAAGCAUCUAAGCACGAAACUUGCCCCGAGAUGAGUUCUCCCUGACUCCUUGAGAGUCCUGAAGGAACGUUGAAGACGACGACGUUGAUAGGCCGGGUGUGUAAGCGCAGCGAUGCGUUGAGCUAACCGGUACUAAUGAACCGUGAGGCUUAACCUUACAACGCCGAAGCUGUU
rnacentral:rRNA from 1 species